rnacentral:misc_RNA from 1 species
GAUGAAGAACGUAGCGAAAUGCGAUAAGUAAUGUGAAUUGCAGAAUUCAGUGAAUCAUCGAAUCUUUGAACGCACAUUGCGCCCGCCAGCAUUCUGGCGGGCAUGCCUGUUCGAGCGUCAUUUCAACCCUCGACUUCCCUUUGGGGAAAUCGGCGUUGGGGACUGGCAGCAUACCGCCGGCCCCGAAAUGGAGUGGCGGCCCGUCCGCGGCGACCUCUGCGUAGUAAUCCAACCUCGCACCGGAACCCCGACGUGGCCACGCCGUAAAACACCCCACUUUCUGAACGUUGACCUCGGAUCAGGUAGGAAUACCCGCUGAACUUAAGCAUAUCAAUAAGCGGAGGA